CCUCUACCUCCUGGGUUCAAGUGAUUCUCCUGCCUCAGCCUUCCUAGUAGCUGGGGUUGUGCCACCAUGCCCAGCUAAUUUUUUAUUUUUAGUAGACGGGGUUUCACCAUGUUGGCCAGGCUAGUCCAAAACUCCUGACCUCAAGUUAUCCGCCUGCCUCAGCCUCCCAAAGUGUUGGGAUUACAGGUAUGAGCCACCACCUAGUCCCCUUUUGUUGUAUUUAUACAAAAUUCCAAACUAAAGAUGUGUAGUAAAAGUAAUGUCUAUGACCCCGCAAAUCCACCAAGAGAAAUGAAGGCAUCUGAAUAACAAAACAGUGAACGUAGAAGUCUUUCAUGCUAAAAUGUUUAGAGGUGAAUAAUACUGAUAUCUG
rnacentral:lncRNA from 1 species